AAUGAACGCUGGCGGCGUGCCUAACACAUGCAAGUUGAGCGGUAAGGCCCCUUCGGGGGUACACGAGCAGCGAACGGGUGAGUAUCGCGUGGGUAAUCUACCUUGAGGUGGGGGAUAGCCCCGGGAAACCGGGGGUAAUACCGCAUAAGUCCUCAACGACACAAGUCGAUGAGGGGAAAGGCGGGGCUCCUUCGGGACCUGUCGCCUCUGGAUGAGCCCGCGUCCGAUUAGCUUGUUGGUGGGUAAUGGCCUACCAAGGCAACGAUCGGUAGCCGGCCUGAGAGGGUGAACGGCCACAUUGGGACUGAGACACGGCCCAGACUCCUACGGGAGGCAGCAGUGGGGAAUUUUGGGCAAUGGGGGAAACCCUGACCCAGCGACGCCGCGUGGAGGAUGACGGCCUUCGGGUUGUAAACUCCUGUCAGGUGGGAAGAAGAGCUUGUCGGAUAAUACUCGGCAGGAAUUGACGGUACCACCAAAGGAAGCCCCGGCUAACUCCGUG
rnacentral:rRNA from 1 species